UGAAAGAGGCCUUUGAGGAGGACGCACCGAAGCACCGGAGCCAAUCUUGUGUCACACAUGGAAGGGUGUGUGAGUGUGUGUGAGUGUGUGUGUUUUCAGUAUGCAGGAGAUACAUCUAUUCAAAGUGAUGGAGAUGUCAGCCUGUGUGUCUUGAGAGGAAGUCAUGCUCACCUUGCUCCGCAGCAGCCCUCCGCUGUGGUGCUCCGGCGUGCUCCUCUCCGACGACGGCUUGGCCUUCUCCUUGUUGUUGCUUGAGUCGUUGUCCUUGAUGAUGUCAUACUGCCGGCAGAACAGGGCAAUAACAGCUGGCAGGAGCAGGCCUCCUAACAUACCAACUAAGAAGAUUCCUUGACGUUUGGAGCCAGCCUCAAGUGGACACUCAAGGAACUGCAGUUUUUAGCACCUCAGCAUUGUCCUCAUUUUUCAGCACUGGAGGUCAGGAGGGUCACUCCUCCUACCUUGGUUGGAGCUGUUGGAGGGGAAGCGGUCCGUCUUCUUCAGAGUACGAAAAUGGACCUUCUUGCUGGCUUGGCUUUCCCCGUAGAGGCCGAUCGACUGAACCUGGAUGAUGUAGUCCGUUUCUUCCUCCAGGUCCCAGAGGACACAUGAGCGGCUGGUGGUGUUUACUUCCCUAAUGAAUCGCUGCAUGUGUCCGUCCUGCCUCUGGGAAUUGAACGAGGGACAGAGAACAACAGAAUGGAUCCUUUAGGUCAAUAAAUAACACGAUAAUCAAUACAGAGGGAGAAGGGGUGAUUAUGGCGACUACACAGCAAAGCCAGACCUGCAAAUGUGUCCCUCAGGAAGACAGUCUCUUCUGUGUGGGGCCUUGUUUCUUAACUCCAGGAAUCCCUCUUCCUGGUCUAAUGUUUCCGCCUCAAGCAUCAUAAAAACCAAUCAUGUUCCUCUAUGUGAGAUGGAGGUGACCAUCCAAAAAAUUAUGAAGGUGCUUGGAAGCAACGUGCCGAGUACCUUAUUAUGUUCACAGUUGGCACUUCAUUUUCACCAUGUGGAGUCCAGACUGGAAAUUGAAAAGUUGUGGAGUCAAUUUUUCUUGAUUAAUUUAGACUGCGAGUGUAGAGAAGAAGCUUUCACAGUCUCACGCUUUGGUUUUGACUUUCAGGAUGUUAUUGAAGCUGAGAAUUAUGGAAAUUAUUCCUCUCUCUCUCUCUCUCUCUCAUGCAGAGCUGGUUUCCUGGAGCACUCUCAGGUCUGUCUACAUUUGAUGUGGCUUUGGGCCAGGUGUCGUCUUCCCAUGUUCUUUUACGGCGCUGCCUGAUGGAUGGCGUUUGUAACUCUUUGUUAACAAUGUGGUGAUUUAAAAGCCGUGUACACUCAAAGUAAUGACUAUUCAUGUUCAAAUUUAGUUGCGUAACAUGACGAAGAGCCCUGAGGAGAGACCUUCAGGUGUUUUACAGCCAUCCAGUCAAUGAGUGAAAGGCAGAGUUAAAUGUGGAGAUGCAGAAAGCAUAAACAUGAUUACAGCACCAUAUGGCAGUUUGUCAGUUAGGUUUAGCAUUCAGAGGUUUUCCUAUUUUUAAGCCUUUGAAAUCUUUUCAUCCAAUGAAUGCAGUUUGGCAGCUUGAUGUGCUUAUGUGGAGCCAAUUCCUGCUGCUUCCUUGUUUUCUCCACACACCGUCCAUGCCAGCUUUAGUUCUGACUUCGAGCUUGAUGGCAGGAAUUAGUCCGUCUCUCUGCAUAUCAAACAGAGAUUUAAGGGAAAACGCAUCUUUUUCCAAACAAGAUCUUCUGUAG